rnacentral:rRNA from 1 species
UACGAAGGGUCCAAGCGUUAUCCGGAUUUAUUAGGUUUAAAGGGUGCGUAGGCGGGUUAUUAAGUCAGUGGUGAAAUCUUGCAGCUUAACUGUAAAAUUGCCAUUGAUACUGAUGAUCUUGAGUACGUUUGAAGUGGGCGGAAUAUGUCAUGUAGAGGUGAAAUUCUUAGAGAUGACAUAGAACACCGAUUGCGAAGGCAGCUCACUAAACUGUAACUGACGCUGAGGCACGAAAGCGUGGGGAUCAAACAGG